rnacentral:rRNA from 1 species
AGGGUUUGAUCCUGGCUCAGGAUGAACGCUGGCGGCAUGCCUAACACAUGCAAGUCGAACGAAGUUACCGGAGCAGCGGACUUAGGUUCAACGCACCGACUAACUUAGUGGCGGAUGGGUGAGUAACACGUGAGCAACCAACCUUUUACUCGGGAAUAACAUGGGGAAACCCAUGCUAAUACCUGAUAUUAUCAAGAAAUGGCAUCAUAAUUUGAUGAAAGAUUUAUCGGUAAAAGACGGGCUCGCGUCCGAUUAGCUAGUUGGUAAGGUAAUGGCUUACCAAGGCCACGAUCGGUAGCCGGACUGAGAGGUCGACCGGCCACAUUGGGACUGAGAACGGCCCAGACUCCUACGGGAGGCAGCAGUGGGGAAUAUUGGGCAAUGGACGCAAGUCUGACCCAGCGAUGCCGCGUGAAGGAUGGAAGGCCCUCGGGUUGUAAACUUCUUUAGACAGGGAAGAAAGAAAUGACAUUACCUGUAGAAUAAGCCACGGCUAACUACGUGCCAGCCGCCGCGGUAAUAC